UCUUUUCUUUUGAUAAGAGAGUUUUUAAAACCAGUGUUAUUUUUGUAAGUUUAAGAGAAGUUUGUGUAUUGAAUUUUUUAUUUUUAAUAUUAAAGAGCUUUGUUAAACUUAGACUUAAGUUUAGGUCAUUUUGGGGGUUUAGCUCAGUUGGCUAGAGCAUCGGCUUUGCAAGCCGAGGGUCAAGGGUUCGAGUCCCUUAACCUCCAUUGGGCUUAUGUCCUAAAUUGUAAUUAAGUAUGUUUUUAAGCAACUUUGUUAAAGUAAUUGUUAGAAUGUGAAACAGAGGAAGUUAAAAUUUCUGAGUUAAGUUGAGAUCUGUUGAUAUUAAGAAGAAUCUCUAGAAGCAAAAGCAAGCUUUCGAUAAAACCCGAAGUUGUUUCGCUAAAGUGCAAGGAUUAAACAGGAUUGUAUUUUCCAGCAGCCUAUUUUAUAAACGAUCUGCAUUUAGUAAAUAGUUUUUAGUUAAGAAAUAAUGUAUAUUGCUAAGUGUGAUGUC
rnacentral:misc_RNA from 1 species